GUCCUGGUGGUGCAAUGGUUAAGCACUCAGCUGCUAACUGAAAGGUUGGCAGUUCGAACCUACCCAGAGACU
rnacentral:tRNA from 1 species